GUUUCCCUCAUAUGUUCCUUUUGUCUGUGGAUGUAAAAUUAUAUGUUUGUGAACUGACACGAUGUAGAAAUCUUAUCAUUCCAUCUGCUGCAACUGGCAUGUAUUUCGGCUUCACUGGUAGCCUGGUAACAUUCAGCCCCAGGUCUUUCUCUGCCUCUGUGGUGGAUAGUGGAGUGUUUCCCAUGUGGUAUUGGUAUGCUGGAUAUCCCUUCACUAGUAGCCUGGUAACAUUCAGCCCCAGGUCUUUCUCUGCCUCUGUGGUGGAUAGUGGAGUGUUUCCCAUGUGGUAUUGGUAUGCUGGAUAUCCCUUCACUAGUAGCCUGGUAACAUACAGCCCCAGGUCUUUCUCUGCCUCUGUGGUGGAUAGUUGGAUAUCCCUUCACUAGUAGCCUGGUAACAUUCAGCCCCAUGUCUUUCUCUGCCUCUGUGGUGGAGAGUGGAGUGUUUCCCAUGUGGUAUUGGUACGCGCAGGACUUUACAUUUUUCUUCACUGGAUUGUAGCAGCUUCUUUUUGCUCCAUUCCUGUAGCUUGGUGAGGUCUUCUUGUAGGAAAUCCACAUUCAAGAGGUUAACUGCAUACCUCACAUCCGUCUUAACCCGGUAGCAGCGGGGAUCAUGCUUCUUAAUGGUCCCUCUAAGCGAGAAAAAUUAGUAAAAAUCAUCACUCACACAAACUAUUUCAUAAUACAUAUCAAAGCAUUUGUGAUCAGUUUAUGCAUCAUCUAUUUUGGGGAUUUUUAUCGUGGCACAAAUUUGGCCCGUCGCUGCUACCGGGUUAAUCAAACCUCACAUAUCCUUACCUAGAAAUAAUACUUAGAUGAUGUGUGCCUCUUACAGCCUCAUCAGGAACACACCCUGGCACUACACAAGAGCAGCCUGCAUUAACCAUAUCAAUAUCGUAUCAAUAAGUGUCGUCUUCCUCCCCCCUUGCAGAUGUUCCAGUGGUUCAAUGAGAUACUAUACUCGUAAUGAACACCACUAAGGAUAUUUUCACUGUUAUUGCAGUUUCUCUAAAGAUACUAUACUCAGUAUGUAACUAAGAAAAUGUCUAUAUUUGUAUUAAAGUGAAGGUUUUAUAUGCUGUCUUUAAUGAUUGCCUCCUAAAAGCUUGUGUGUGAUAACUUAUUCUGAGCAGAGGUUUUGAAAGUUGGGGUGUGAUGUCUUGAAACAGUUGCUUGGGUCUCUCUCUCUCUCUCUCUUUUUUUACUCUUUCGUCCUCCAUGUCUCCUUUCUCUUUUUCUUUCCUUCAAUCCAUUUCUUCUUUUACAUUUAUCACAUUCCCUUCACCCAUUCUUGCCCCUCUCUCCUCCUCCUCCUCAGUCUACUGCAAAUUACUGAGGCAUUUUAUUCUAUUGUAGCAUCAUGUAUUUAUAUCCUGGGUUGGAGGUACAUAGUUUCACCCCAUCAUUCAGUGCUAGUUUUUCUUAACAGGUCUUGGACAUCCAUUGUUAAACGUGCUUCUCUCGUCUCUCGUCUCUCUCGUACAUGACUUCAGAAACUUCAAGAGGGACAUCAGAUACCACUUUGAGAACCUUGAAAACUCCACUCGACGGUUGUGUCAUUCCUCUCAACAUGUAGAGUUUGCUCCAUGUUCAUCCUUGUCUUUGCUGUCGACUGAACCACCACUUAGUGUUUCAGAAGACAUUUCAUUCUAUUGUGGCAUCAUGUAUUUAUAUCCUGGGUUGGAGGUACAUGACUUCAGAAACUUCAAGAGGGACAUCAGAUACCACUUUGAGAACCUCUGAUCUGAAAACACGUAUAUUUUUCUCCAUGUUCAUCCUUGUGUUUGCUGCUGUUGACUGAACCACCACUUGGGGUUUCAGAAGACAGCCCUGCAGCCUCCAGUGAGUCAUUCUAAGGAGAGGGAAAGGACACCAAGAAUAAAAGUCCGAGGAUGCAAUGAAUAUGUAUUUUUCUAUUAAAAAAUAUAAGACCCACUAAGGUUGGUCAGCUCCCUGGCUAGCCCCGGUCAUCCUCGCCAAGAAGACCAGAGGCAAUAGGAACUGGUGUUUACUCAAGGCCAAGUCUAGGGCAGGUCGUGUGGUGGCAGGAGGGCAGACUCACCGCUGGCUGGCCGGCCGAGAAACCUUGACGUAAGUGUUCGAGAAGCUUUACAAUAACUAGAUAGCCAACACACUCCCCCAUGAACACAUAAACUCUUCUAAGUGACUUUUAAUGAAUCAGAGGCUCAACUACUUUGCUUAGGGGUUACUACUACAAUAAUUACUAAUACUUUUCUAGGGGUUUCAAUUUAUCUCAUGGGGAGGAGGAGAUUGAUAGCCAACACUCCCCCAUGAACACAUAAACUCUUCUAAGUGACUUUUAAUGAAUCAGAGGCUCAACUACUUUGCUUAGGGGUUACUACUACAAUAAUUACUGAUACUUUCCGAGGGGUUUCAAUUUAUCUCAUGGGGAGGAGGAGAUUGACGUUACUGUGAUAUCAAGUUUUACAAGAGCACGCAUAUACUAUACAUAGCAUUGAUGGUCCUAUUGCUAAUGGUAAUGCUGUUGCCUUGAAUUAAACAGAAUGAUUUAUAUGUUAAGGCCGUAAGUUUCCUUCACUUUGCAACAGUAUUGGUAGAACCUUGUAUAUAGAUCUGUUGAGUCAGAACCACUGCGUAAUACCCCUACGGUUAUAACUGAUGAGGCACAAAUCCCUUUUAUCUUACGUAUAUGACAAAAAUAUUUAAGUAAACAUAUGCCAAGUAGUAGUAACCCCAUAGUCAGGCCUGUGUUGGUAUUGGUCUGGCAGGCAUUUUUCCUUCCCUUCACCGCCCCUUCACCGACAAACUCAAGCGUCAGGGGAAGAGAAUGAAGCUGAUUUAACCUUCAGUGGUCAGUAGCUUUGCCUGAGGUGCCAUCAGUCUGCGAGGUGUUGUUCCCCCGCCCACACGUCCACCCUACGCCCCUGUGCCUUGAGCGUUCAAUGGGAUAAAACAAAGGCUUGCCUCACACCAUCCUAGUCCACCCACACUGAGAGGAGCUGACUUACAGAGUGUACACAAGAAAUACACAACAACUUCCAUCAGUAACUUUUUAGUCAGAUUAACAAAAUUUUUAUCCUUCUACAAAUUAUGCAGGUGUUACUAAAUCUUAAAAUGAGAUAUAUAGAAACUACACAGCAAUACAUUUUUAGUUGAGACAUUAGGUAAUUUGCUAGAAGGAGACACUUCUCCAGUUAACCAACUCAAUAUAAUAUAGAACUGUCAUAGUAAUAAUAAUAAUAAUAAUAAUAAUAAUAAUAAUAAUAAUGUGAUAAUAAUAUAAUAGUAGUGACGGUAAUGUUAUAACAAGCCCUGAUAUCUGACUGGUCACUCCCUAAUCGUACUAGUAAGGGAGGGUUUGUAGUAACCUGAUUAUAAUUAUUCAUAAAAAUGAGUUUCCUUAACACAUAAAGAACAAAGAAACAAGAGACAAGUGAAUAAAUGAACACACACACACACACACACACACACACACACAAACACACACUCAACCAGAUAAACAUAGGAAGGUAGAAAGCAUUACAGGGAAGGAAUGUGAUUAAAGACAUCUUAACCUGGUAGCAGCGGGGAUCAUGUUUCUUUAUGGUCCCUCCAAGCGGGUUUAUAACAUGGCACAAAUUUGGCCCGUUGCUACUACACGGUAAAGCCACAAAUUUGGCCUGUCACUGCUACUGGGUUAAAGACUCCUUACGCUGGGCACAAAGAGGCCACAGCUCCACAAGGGUUACAACCAGCGAUGCCAAAUUAUCGUACUCAGCGCAUUGCAUUUUCCAAGUUUCUGGUUGAUAACUAUAGAAAAAAAGAACGAAAACCAUCAGUAUUUAGCAGUUUCAGUGAUGACUUUAAUUUUCUAUCGUUGUUUGUGUGGUUACGACAGACUUGGCGCCUAAACACAAUAAAUACAAUGUUCAGAGUACGACAAUUUGGCAAUGCUGGUUACAACAGAGCGCUGCCUCUCACCAGGAAGCUGCCGUGGGCCUGGCAAACUCACGACCUCUCGGUUAAAAGCACCUUGCCCACGGAGCUUCCCGGCCCCUCCAUCAAGGCAAAGCAAUAGAAUCUGAUAGACAACCUGAAAUAAAAGACUUCUGAUAAGGCAGUACAGCAACAGUAUAUCGACAAGGAAGAAAAAAACGUAUUUCUUUACCCGACAUAUUUAGCAAAAACAUGGUAUUCCUUUGACGUAUUUACCAACACAAUGUUAUUCCUCUGGCAUAUUAAUUUAGCCAAAAAAUUGUAUUCAUUUGACGUAUUUAGCAAAAAAAUGGUAUUCCUUUGAUAUAUUUGUCAACACAAUGUUAUUCCUCUGGCAUAUUAAUUUAGCCAAAAAAUUGUAUUCCUUUGACGUAUUUACCAAAACGAUGGCAUUUCUUUUGCAUAUUUACCAACACAAUUGUAUUCUUCUGGCAAACUUAGCAAAAAAAUUGUAUUCCUUUGACGUAUUUAGCUAAAAAAUGGUUUUCCUUUUGCAUAUUAAGCCAAAAUAAUGUCAUUCCUUUACCGUAUUUAACCCAAAAAUGUCAUUCCUUUGUCAUAUUUAAGCAAAAAAUAGUUUUCCUUCAAACAUUAAUUUCCAGGUAGUGAGGUAGCCAGGCAGCGGUGUAGAGGACAGUGCCAGGAACACAGUAGGAGUAGGCCAUAACCCUCCAAACAUUACUUUCUAGGCAGUGUUCCUGAGCUAGCCAGGCAGCGGUGUAGAGGACAGUGCCAGGAACACAGUAGGAGUGGGCCAUAACCCUCCACACGUUACUUUCUAGGCAGUGUUCCUGAGCUAGCCAGGCAGCAGCAGAACAGAGGACAGUGCCAGGAACACAGUAAUCUCAAGUUGCCCCGAGGCACAUCUCUCCCACACACUUGUAAUGGUAAGUGCAGAACGAUUUUAUAGAAUUCACACUCAGUAAUAUGUGAUAGGACAAUAAAAUAAUAAUAGCAAUAGUAGUAAUACACUCAAAAAUAAAAUAAAUAAAAAUACAAAAUAAUAAAAAUAAUAAUUUACCAAAUAUGCUUGUGGAAAGGUUGAAUUUUGUAACUAUUUUGAUGUCCAAGGUGAGAGGGCUGACUGGGAUAUACUCUCAGACACAUACAGUUGACAAGGCUUUCAUAGGUGUUUCAGGCAUUUCCAGGGGUAGUUUGAUGACCCUGGUGGUAGUUUAACCCUUCCUCUGUAUCAUGAACUGAAAGAAACACUCAUGAAAACUCUACAUUUGACAAGGCUUUCAUAGGUGUUUCAGGGAUUUCCAGAGGUAGUUUGAUGACCCUGGUGGUAGUUUAACCCUUCCUCUGUAUCAUGAACCAAAAGAAACACUCAUGAAAACUCUAUAUUUGACAAGGCUUUCAUAGGUGUUUCAGGCAUUUCCAGGGGUAGUUUGAUGACCCUGGUGGUAGUUUAACCCUUCCUCUGUAUCAUGAACCGAAAGAAACACUCAUGAAAACUCUACAUUUGACAAGGCUUUCAUAGGUGUUUCAGACAUUUCCAGGGGUAGUUUGAUGACCCUGGUGGUAGUUUAACCCUUCCUCUGUAUCAUGAACCGAAAGAAACACUCAUGAAAACUCUACAUUUGACAAGGCUUUCAUAGGUGUUUCAGGCAUUUCUAGGGGUAGUUUGAUGACCCUGGUGGUAGUUUAGCCCUUCCUCUGUAUCAUGAACCGACAGAAACACUCACAAAAGCCUGAUUAAUCUCCUUUUUGACCUCUGAAAAUGAUUAGCGGGGGAGGUUGAACUGUGAGAAUAUCAACCAUUUUAACAUAGGUACUACGUUUUUUGGGAUCGUCAACCUUCACAAGCAUAUGCAGUACGUAAUAACAAUAAUGAUUACGACAAUAUUCCUGAAGCUAAUGCAUACGCUUUUUUUGGACAGUGCUAGAAGUGCCGAACACGAACACGAAAUACGUAAUCUCCUUUCGCUUUUGUACAACUCUCGAAGCAAUUAUUUGAAGUGGGACAGGACAGUCAAACCUCCAUUUAUGAAACCAUCUGCUGAACACAACAUCAUUAUAUCGAAGUCUGUUAUAGUUGAAGGUAUUACGAGGUGCUCCAUCAUAUAGGAACCAGAGACAGCAUUUACAGUAGCCAUAAUAUUGUUUAAGGCAAAUGAUCAAAGGUAUUACUAGGAACACGGUGCAGCAUUUUAUAGGAAUUUUGCUGAAGGUAUUACUGGGAACAAGGGGCUACAUCAUAUAAGAACCAGAGAUCACAUUUGCAGUAGCUAUAGUAUUGUUUUAGGAAGUGAAAAUCAUUGCUUGGUUUGAAAAAAGUUUGGUAUAGCUAAAGAUUUCCCAUAAACAAGGCAAUACAUCACAUAAGAACCAGAGGCAGUGUUCCCAGUAGCCAUAAUAUCGUAUAGGCUAAUGAAAACCGCUGCUUAAUCAAACACGCAAGGUAUCCAACAAAUCCUGAAGGGGCAGCAGUAGGUUUAAAAUGGCCAACUUCGCCCCGUUUUCGCCCGGCAGAGGUUUCCUAAAUGGAGGGUUGACCGCGCAAUAAUAAUUCCCAACACCUUGAAAUACCACCUUUUUACCAUGAGGCGUUCCGAGGGUGCCUCCAGCUACGUACGUACAGAAGGAACUAAACAGAUCGUACAGAAGUAUAUAAAUUAGGAGGAAAAACCUGGAAUAAUCUGAAUGAGGGAGAGAGAGAGGGAGAGAGGGAGCAGAAGGAAUGAAGCAGAUUGUACAGAAGUAUAUAAAUUAGGAGGAAAAACCUGGAAUAAUCUGAAUGAGGGAGAGAGAGAGGGAGCAGAAGGAACGAAGCAGAUUGUACAGAAGUAUA